rnacentral:rRNA from 2 species
UCUGCAACUGACGCUGAGACUCGAAAGCAUGGGUAGCGAACAGGAUUAGAUACCCUGGUAGUCCAUGCCGUAAACGAUGAGUGCUAGGUGUUGGAGGGUUUCCGCCUUUCAGUGCCGGAGCUAACGCAUUAAGCACUCCGCCUGGGGAGUACGACCGCAAGGUUGAAACUCAAAGGAAUUGACGGGGGCCCGCACAAGCGGUGGAGCAUGUGGUUUAAUUCGAAGCUACGCGAAGAACCUUACCAGGUCUUGACAUCUUGCGCCAACCCUAGAGAUAGGGCGUUUCCUUCGGGAACGCAAUGACAGGUGGUGCAUGGUCGUCGUCAGCUCGUGUCGUGAGAUGUUGGGUUAAGUCCCGCAACGAGCGCAACCCUUGUUACUAGUUGCCAGCAUUAAGUUGGGCACUCUAGUGAGACUGCCGGUGACAAACCGGAGGAAGGUGGGGACGACGUCAGAUCAUCAUGCCCCUUAUGACCUGGGCUACACACGUGCUACAAUGGACGGUACAACGAGUCGCGAACUCGCGAGGGCAAGCAAAUCUCUUAAAACCGUUCUCAGUUCGGACUGCAGGCUGCAACUCGCCUGCACGAAGUCGGAAUCGCUAGUAAUCGCGGAUCAGCAUGCCGCGGUGAAUACGUUCCCGGGCCUUGUACACACCGCCCGUCACACCAUGAGAGUUUGUAACACCCAAAGUCGGUGGGGUAACCUUUAGGAGCCAGCC